rnacentral:rRNA from 1 species
UACGUAGGGGGCAAGCGUUGUCCGGAUUUACUGGGUGUAAAGGGCGUGUAGCCGGGCUGACAAGUCAGAUGUGAAAUUCCGGGGCUCAACCCCGGACCUGCAUUUGAAACUGUUUCCCUUGAGUAUCGGAGAGGUCAUCGGAAUUCCUAGUGUAGCGGUGAAAUGCGUAGAUAUUAGGAGGAACACCAGUGGCGAAGGCGGCUUACUGGACAGUAACUGACGUUGAGGCUCGAAAGCGUGGGGAGCAAACAGG